rnacentral:rRNA from 1 species
CGUAGGGUGCGAGCGUUAAUCGGAAUUACUGGGCGUAAAGCGUGCGCAGGCGGUUAUAUAAGACAGAUGUGAAAUCCCCGGGCUCAACCUGGGAACUGCAUUUGUGACUGUAUAGCUAGAGUACGGCAGAGGGGGAUGGAAUUCCGCGUGUAGCAGUGAAAUGCGUAGAUAUGCGGAGGAACACCGAUGGCGAAGGCAAUCCCCUGGGCCUGUACUGACGCUCAUGCACGAAAGCGUGGGGAGCAAACAGGAUUAGAUACCCUGGUAGUCCAUGCCCUAAACGAUGUCAACUGGUUGUUGGGUCUUCACUGACUCAGUAACGAAGCUAACGCGUGAAGUUGACCGCCUGGGGAGUACGGCCGCAAGGUUG